CUGGGAGGUGACAUCUGAGUGGAAUCAAAUCUUUCAGGACUGGUUGGGGUGUGCUGGUCCAGAGGACAGAUGGCGAGAGGACAGGAAGAGGGCUGGAGAGCGUGCUUCAGGCGGAUGGGAAGCAGCCGCAUCUUCAUCCACGUGUUUUACUGGACAGUGUGGCAUCAAAAAUUGCUGUUGCAGGUGUUUUCUAAAGACCCGUGGAGACAGACUGCUUUGGAAGACAGUGUGGCAUGGCAGAUUAAAGAGCAUGGGCUUCAGUCAUGAGACCUGACAGGCAUAAAUUCAGGAUACCAGAUAAGCAUCUACGAUCUGAGAAGGAAGUAGCGAUUUGGUGUGGUGGUGUUUUUCUUUUCCCAGAGAGGAGUAAGCAGAGCCCUGGGUUUUGACAAAUUCAAGUAAUGCAGCGUAUUAUAAAAGAAGAAGAGAAAAAGGCAUGGAACUGAUUCCCAUCUCACGGUGCCAAAAGGAAAACACAUUCGGUGCCACAGAUGUGUUCUCUGCCCUGGGAACCCUCCAUUGCAUCUCUGUCCUCCUGCCUGCCUAUCCAUGGACAGUAUGGGAGAUGUACCUGUGAAUCAUUUGACUUGUCAUCCUCAAGAAUGUCACCCCUCACGUUCUCGGCCAUAUUAGAAGCUGGGUUGCUGAGGUCAUCUGCAACGUUGUGGUUCCCAUGCUGCACACAGUAGAUUCAUCCUACUGAGCCAGUUUUGUGAAUCCAAGUGAUAGCCGCAGGAGUUAAAGUUCAUUCUCCCGUGUUCGCACACCCUAACUUCUGGCAGUGUGCCUCUCCACAAGGCUGCCUACGGACCUGACUGAAAGAAAACACCAUUCCUGGGUCCUAGCCCAGCAGAAUCCAGACUGAAGGAGCAGCCUCCACCUGGGAUAUGCUGUUCUUCUGGCAUAGGAUAGAAGCAAGAAGCCCAGCCAAACCAUGCAAGCACAGUUAAAGCUUUUCUGCCAGAGGGUAUAUGUCACAUCUGUGGGCAAGAGCAAGUUACAUGGCUAAGACUGACAAGGGUUGGGAUAGUAUCUGUCUACAGCAAGGCGGGGUAAGAGUGGGGGUGAAUUAUACUCCUAGAGAGGAGAGAGUAGAUAAUUGGGAACAAUAAUAAACUAUACUACAGACCUCAAAUAUGCUAUGCUAUACCUUAUGAUUCUUCCCUACCCCUCAUCAUUUUAGGAAGAUGCUGUGUAUGCUCCGCUUUGUCUUGGGGUAAUUUAAAUAUCUGGUAUCUUACGGGUUAAGGUUUUAUAUGACAUCAGGUAAUCAGCAAUAAAAGAAUGAAUCACAAUUUUAAGUAACAUUUUUUUAAAUAAUUAUUUGUGUAUAUCUUUACUUAUAUUACUGGAGCACCACCUAAACUUUUCAGACAUUUAUAUACCAUAUAUAAGGCAAUUUCUUUUCCUGCAUUCUGGCAACUUCUCUGGUGCCUGUUUCUUCAUUUGCUGAUAUUAAGCUGUCUUCAAACACAAUUUCAUCCUUCUUUCUCUAUAUGCAAGGUUUUUCUAUAUGCAAGGUUGCCAGUGGGUAGACUGGGGGAUAAAAUACAUGCUACCAACAUUUUGAAUUCAUAAAAUAUUUUAGGAAA